UACGAAGGGGGCUAGCGUUGCUCGGAAUCACUGGGCGUAAAGGGUGCGUAGGCGGGUCUUUAAGUUAGGGGUGAAAUCCUGGAGCUCAACUCCAGAACUGCCUUUGAUACUGAAGAUCUUGAGUUCGGGAGAGGUGAGUGGAACUGCGAGUGUAGAGGUGAAAUUCGUAGAUAUUCGCAAGAACACCAGUGGCGAAGGCGGCUCACUGGCCCGGUACUGACGCUGAGGCACGAAAGCGUGGGGAGCAAACAGG
rnacentral:rRNA from 1 species